CCCUGGGUAGUACAAAAAGGUUAACAUGUUUGGCUGCAAACCAAAAGGUUGGAGGUUCAAGUCCACCCAAAGGUG
rnacentral:tRNA from 1 species